GGUAUGACUCUCGGCAACGGAUAUCUCGGCUCUCGCAUCGACGAAGAACGUAGCGAAAUGUGAUAUGAGGUGCGAAUUGCAGAAUCCCGCGAACCAUCGAGUCUUCGAACGCAAGUUGCGCCCAAGGCCAUCCGGCCGAAGGCACGCUUGCCAGGGCGCCAACC
rnacentral:rRNA from 1 species